rnacentral:pre_miRNA from 1 species
UUUUGAUUGUUGCUCAGAAAGCCCUUAUUGUUUACCAGUUGGCUUUCGAGCAAUAAUUGAAACC